UAUUUUAAGUAACGCUUUUAGCUUAAUCCACAUAACUGAUACUACGUAUCGACUUUGUGMGCAUUUUGCUAUUAUGUGUUCUUUUAAUUAAAAUGAUUCUUUUUAAGGUCUUUUUUUUGCUUCGGUAAUUAAAGAUCUUGUUACUUUGAGUAAAUUAGAGUGUUCAAAGCAAACAGAUAUAGCAUUGCGCGUUUGAAUACUACAGCAUGGAAUAACAAAAUUGAACAAGUCAGAAUUUUGUUCUUUUUUCUUAUUUUGGCUUAGUUACGAUUAAUAGGAGUAGCUUGGGGGCAUUUGUAUUCAGAUGUCAGAGGUGAAAUUCUUAGAUUUUCUGGAGACAAACAACUGCGAAAGCAUUUGCCUAAAAUACUUCCAUUAAUCAAGAACGAAAGUUAAGGGAGUGAAGACGAUCAGAUACCGUCGUAAUCUUAACCAUAAACUAUGCCGACUAGGCUUUGGAUGAAAGAUUUUAAAAUAAGAGUUUUUCUCUUCGGAGUGAAACUCUUAGAUUGCUUCCUUCAGUGCCUUAUGAGAAAUCAAAGUCUUUGGGUUCUGGGGCGAGUAUUCGCGCAAGCGAGAAAGUUAAAAGAAUUGACGGAAGGGCACCACCAGGCGUGGAGCUUGCGGCUUAAUUUGACUCAACACGGGAAAACUCACUAGUUUAAGACAAGAGUAGGAUUGACAGAUUAAUAGCUCUUUCUUGAUUUCUUGGAUGGUGAUGCAUGGCCGUUUUUAGUUCGUGAAUAUGAUUUGUCUGGUUAAUUCCGAUAACGAACGAGAUCUUAACCUGCUAAUUAGCGGCAAAUACGAUAUAUUCUUAUGUGGGAUUGAAUACGGUUGAUUUGCUUAUUUUGAAGAGAAUAUUGGAAUGCGUAAAGUGUUCCUUUCCCUUCUCUACUUAAUUCGCUUAUUAUACUGUUUCUUUUUCGCGUAAGAAUGUAUUUGCUUGAUUGUAAAGCUUCUUA
rnacentral:rRNA from 1 species